GAUGAACGCUGGCGGCGUGCCUAAUACAUGCAAGUCGAGCGAACAGACGAUGAGCUUUCUCCUCUGACGUUAGCGGCUGACGGGUGAUUAACACGUGUAUAACCUACCUAUAAUACUGGGAUAACUUCGGGAAACCGGAGCUAAUACCGGAUAAUAUAUUGAACCUCAUUGUUCAAUAGUUAAAUACGGUUUUGCUGUCUCUUAUAGAUGGAUCCGCGCCGCAUUAGCUAGUUGGUAAGGUAACGGCUUACCAAGGCGACGAUGCGUAGCCGACCUGAGAGGGAGAUCGGAGAAACUGGAACUGAGACACGGACAAGAGGCAUACGGGAGGAAGCAGUAGGGAAUGUGCCGAAAGGGGCGAAAGCGUGACGGAGAAAAGCCGAGUGAGUGAAGAAGGUAUACGGAUCGUAAAACUCUGUUAUUAGGGAAGAAAAAAAGUGUAAGUAACUAUGCAGGUAAUGACGGUAACAAAUAAGAAAGCAACGGCUAACUACGUG
rnacentral:rRNA from 1 species